rnacentral:lncRNA from 1 species
GUCAUCACUUCAUUUUUUUGCGCCUGCGCAUAAAUCUGAGAAACGUGAGUUUUGUCUUCAUUGUUUAUCUCGACAUAGGAUAGGUUGUGUGAAAAUAUUACUGAUGUUUAACGUUAAAAAUGGACCAAAAGAUUAAUGCUAAACAACAUUUGACAUGUUUGAACGAACAUAAAUAGAUUAUUUACUAGUUUUUUUUUAGCUUUUCGGCGUGAAUUACACUCCCCCCACCACGUUUUGUGGGAGCAUAAUGAACGCUAAGUACUUGGUGUUAUUUGGACAUAAAUUAUGAACUUUGUCAAAAGAAACCACAUUUGUUCCGGACCUGGGAUGCCUUCCGGACCUGGGAUGCCUGCCUUCUGAUGGAGAUAAUCAAAGUGGGCAUUCUCCGUCCAUCACCACCCCCACAACAACCCCAGUCUGUCACAGAGGUCAGGGGUCAGUGGACAAGAUAGACAGCCAGGUCCCCGGAGGUGACUGAGGAGGAAGCUGAGCAGCUGGACCUCUGACCUGGCCAAGGUGGCCUGGCAUGACCAUGGCCGGUGGUGGCUGGUCCACUCCAGGAAGCUGAGGUGCGGGAGGUUCCUCCGCCCCCUCUAGACAUUGAGGGGGCCCCGGCGUAUGCUGUUCGAGCUAUCCUGGACUCGAGGCAUCGGGCGAGGGGCCUUCAGUACCUCGUGGAUUGGGAGGGGUACGGUCCAGAGGAUAAAUGCUGGGUGCCAGUGGAGGACGUCCUGGACCCUUCGUUGCUGCGGGAUUUCCACCGUCUCCAUCCGGAUCGCCCUGCGUCUCGUCCUCCGGGUCGUCCCCGAGGUCGGUGUCGGCAAGGGGGGUACUGUCACGACUUCCACCGAAGUCGGUCCCUCUCCUUGUUCGAGCGGCGUUCGGCGGUCGACGUCACCGGCCUUCUAGCCACCGCCAAUCCACUUUUCAUUUUCCAUUUGUUUUGUCUUUGUUUUACACACCUGAUUUCAGUCCCACAAUUACUUGUUAAUUAUUAAACCCUCGGUUCCCCCAUAGGUUUUUGUGAGUGAUUGUUUGUUGAAUUUUCGGCCUGUCAUGGUGUGCGUGUAUUUGUUACUUUGUAUAUUUGACAUUUUGAGUAAAAGUACGUUGAUUACUCAUAUCUGCAGUCCUGCGCCUGACUCUCUACACCAGCUACACCUAGGACCCAUUUUUCCUAUUCUGUUGCAUCACAACCUGUAAUUUAAAUAGAUUUUUAUUUGGACUUCAUGUAAUUGACAUACACAAAAUAGUCCAAAUUGGUGAAGUGAAAUGAAAAAAAUAUCUUGUUUCAAAAAAUUCCAAAACAUAUAAAACCGUAAAAGUGAUGCGUGCAUAUGUAUUCACCCCGUUUGCUAUGAAGCCCCUAAAUAAGAUCUGGUGCAACCAAUUACCUUCAGAAGUCACAUAAUUAGUUAGAAUGCACACAUGUGGACUUUAUUUAAGUGUCACAUGAUCUGUCACAUGAUCUCAGUCUAUAUACACACCUGUUCUGAAAGGCCCCAGAGUCUGGAACACCACUAAGCAAGGGACACCACUAAGCAAGCGGCACCAUGAAGACCAAGGAGCUCUCCAAACAGGUCAGGGACAAAGUUGUG